rnacentral:ncRNA from 2 species
UAGUUUUAAGGGAAUGAGGUUCUCCCGUGGAUGAUUCCAAAAGUGCGUGUAUGCUGAUGACUUCUGUGUAAAA